GACAGAGGUGCCGAGCGUUAGGCGGAAUCACUGGGCUUAAAGCGUGUGUAGGCGGGUCGUUAAGUGUCUUGUGAAAUCCCACCGCUCAACGGUGGAACUGCUGGGCAUACUGGCGAUCUUGAGCCACCUAGGGGCAGACGGAACAAGCGGUGGAGCGGUGAAAUGCGUAGAUAUCGUCUGGAACGCCGAAGGUGAAAACAGCUCGCUGGGGCUGCGCUGACGCUGAGACACGAAAGCGUGGGGAUCAAACAGG
rnacentral:rRNA from 1 species